GACGAACGCUGGCGGCGUGCUUAACACAUGCAAGUCGAACGCGCCUGUCCUCUGGGUUUCUGGGGGGUGGGUGAGUGGCGAACGGGUGAGUAACACGUGAGUAACCUGCCCCCUUCUUCGGGAUAACGGUCUGAAAGGGCUGCUAAUACCGGGUAUUCACUGGUCUCCGCAUGGGGUCUGGUGGAAAGGUUUUUUUCUGGUGGGGGAUGGGCUCGCGGCCUAUCAGCUUGUUGGUGGGGUGAUGGCCCACCAAGGCUUUGACGGGUAGCCGGCCUGAGGGUGACCGGUCACAUUGGGACUGAGAUACGGCCCAGACUCCUACGGGAGGCAGCAGUGGGGAAUAUUGCACAAUGGGCGCAAGCCUGAUGCAGCGACGCCGCGUGAGGGAUGGAGGCCUUCGGGUUGUGAACCUCUUUCGCCCGUGGUCAAGCCGCGACGUGGGUCGUGGUGAGGGUAGUGGGUAAAGAAGCGCCGGCUAACUACGUG
rnacentral:rRNA from 1 species